rnacentral:rRNA from 1 species
GCAUAUCAAUAAGCGGAGGAAAAGAAACCAACAGGGAUUGCCCCAGUAACGGCGAGUGAAGCGGCAACAGCUCAAAUUUGAAAUCUGGCCCCUAGGGCCCGAGUUGUAAUUUGCAGAGGAUGCUUUUGGCGAGGUGCCUUCCGAGUUCCCUGGAACGGGACGCCAUAGAGGGUGAGAGCCCCGUCUGGUUGGAUGCCGAGCCUCUGUAAAGCUCCUUCGACGAGUCGAGUAGUUUGGGAAUGCUGCUCUAAAUGGGAGGUAUAUGUCUUCUAAAGCUAAAUACCGGCCAGAGACCGAUAGCGCACAAGUAGAGUGAUCGAAAGAUGAAAAGCACUUUGAAAAGAGGGUUAAAUAGUACGUGAAAUUGUUGAAAGGGAAGCACUUAUGACCAGACUUGGACCCGGUGAAUCAUCCAGCGUUCUCGCUGGUGCACUUUGCCGGGCUCAGGCCAGCAUCAGUUUGCCUCGGGGGAUAAAGGCUUUGGGAAUGUGGCUCCCUCGGGAGUGUUAUAGCCCAUUGCACAAUACCCUGGGGCGGACUGAGGUUCGCGCAUCUGCAAGGAUGCUGGCGUAAUGGUCAUCAGUGACCCGUCUUGAAACACGGACC